rnacentral:rRNA from 1 species
AUUGAACGCUGGCGGAAUGCUUUACACAUGCAAGUCGAACGGCAGCACGGACUUCGGUCUGGUGGCGAGUGGCGAACGGGUGAGUAAAGUAUCGGAACGUGCCCAGUCGUGGGGGAUAACGUAGUGAAAAUUACGCUAAUACCGCAUACGAUCUAUGGAUGAAAGCGGGGGAUCGCAAGACCUCGCGCGAUUGGAGCGGCCGAUAUCAGAUUAGGUAGUUGGUGGGGUAAAGGCCCACCAAGCCAACGAUCUGUAGCUGGUCUGAGAGGACGACCAGCCACACUGGAACUGAGACACGGUCCAGACUCCUACGGGAGGCAGCAGUGGGGAAUUUUGGACAAUGGGCGAAAGCCUGAUCCAGCCAUUCCGCGUGCAGGAUGAAGGCCCCCGGGUUGUAAACUGCUUUUGUACAGAACGAAAAGGUUUCUACUAAUACUAGGAGCUCAUGACGGUACUGUAAGAAUAAGCACCGGCUAACUACGUGCCAGCCGCCGCAGUAA